rnacentral:misc_RNA from 1 species
UGUGGGCGUCGCUCCUACACCUCCACGGACUGAGGAAAACCGUGACGAUAAUCGAACCGCGGAUCAAGCGACGAAAACUGUUCGAAAAACUCGAUUUGGGAUUCCGAGCGCUGGAUAUCGAUGACGUGAAAGGCGAGGAAUUCGACCUGGUGAUAGACUGCAGCGGUGCUGGUUCCGCAACGGAGACAGCUUUGACAUCCCUCGGUAGUGGAGGUCGUCUUUGUUUGGUCGGCUCUACAAACCCUCUGGCAGAGAUAAAAUUCAAACCGUUCCAGGCCACCAGGAAGGAAUUUUCUAUAAUUGGGGCGCACAUCAAUCAAUUCACAUUCGGAAGGACAUUGUCUCUGAUAACAGCGAUGGGUGACACGUAUCUCGAUUAUGAAAAGCUUGGAAUCGGUGUCUACAAACUUUCACGGUACGAAGAG